rnacentral:misc_RNA from 1 species
GAUGAAGAACGUAGCGAAAUGCGAUAAGUAAUGUGAAUUGCAGAAUUCAGUGAAUCAUCGAAUCUUUGAACGCACAUUGCGCCCGCCAGUAUUCUGGCGGGCAUGCCUGUUCGAGCGUCAUUUCAACCAUCAAGCCCCCGGCUUGUGUUGGGGACCUGCGGCUGCCGCAGGCCCUGAAAAGCAGUGGCGGGCUCGCUGUCACACCGAGCGUAGUAGCAUACAUCUCGCUCUGGGCGUGCUGCGGGUUCCGGCCGUUAAACCACCUUCAUAACCCAAGGUUGACCUCGGAUCAGGUAGGAAGACCCGCUGAACUUAAGCAUAUCAAUAAGCGGAGGAA